rnacentral:lncRNA from 1 species
AUGAUAUAUUAUUGUAAUUACUUGAACAUCAGAAUUAAUCAGAAAGAAUUUGUCGACUUCAUCUUUAAAAAGGGGGAGAAAACCCCCAGAACAGAAGAGGGUAUGGCUAAAUGUUUAACAUUUGCUAAAGCUGGCUGUUGGUUACAUUUUUUGCUGUCCUUUUCUGUAUCCUUGACGAUUUCAUCAUUUAAAAUGAAAUCAUGCUCUCGGGCCCAGCCUGAUUGGUGGAGAGCAGCUGCCGCCCCGCCACAUCGAGGGGGCGGGCCCGGCGACGCCACCGGCACUUCCUCCGCCGCAGUCGCCGCCUGCCCGGCUGCUGUCUGGCGGGGGAGGAGCUGGAGACCCGGAGCAGCCCCGGCGGCCCUGACGCUCGGCGGCCCGAGAGCUCCGCUCGUCCGGAGGAGCGCGCGGCUGUCAGCCCUGGGUCUACACCUGACAGUCACUGGAAUGCUACUUCAGGCCUUAGAAGAAAGUGAAACUAAUUGUAAAGGCCCCUUAUCCUUUCUGUUACUGCCUGCUGAAGUGAAAAUAGAUCUCCCUGCUCUUUUAUUCUGAACUGAUUUGACUUUCCCAUCUCCCAAGCUUGUGCAGGGAGCAGGAGCCUUUCCGCUCAAGCCCCAGCUGUAUUGGA